AUUGCCUGUUUAAUCUGGCACUUCAGGGGUUUUCACACCCGGGGCGGUGCACUCUAGUGAGAGGGUGGCUGGGAAGCUGGCUUCCUCAUGAUGAAAGACUGGGCCAGGGAGGGGGAUGUGCUCCUCUGCCCUUCUAGCUUCUGGCUGGUCCGAGAGGGACGGAGUAACAGAAACAGCAGAUGAAGUUUAAUCACAUCUGACCAUGGGCGAGACCCAGGAAAAAAAACAACCAGCUUACGACACUGAAUGUGCCCAAGAGACAUCCUUCUGGGUGCCAGAUUCCGCUCCCCUACAGCUGUGAGGAGAGGAAGGACCAGAAGGAGGGCUGCACCCACCGGCCCUUCCCAGGCCAGGCGGUUUGAACAAAAACACCUCCAGGUGACCUACAGGCCUGCCUGCUCUCCGGGAAGUAAAUUGGAGGCACCUUGGGGAAAGAACCAGACCACCAGAAAGGCUGUAAACGCAGCGAUUUCGCAGACUCCAGGGCUAGGCUGCCGCUGGCACUGGGGAGGUGACGCCUUCAUUUCUGACCCUGUCACUGAAGAGAAGUCCGGGCGCCAGAUGCACAGUGAGGCCCAACGAACUGAGAGGUGGGAGUCUGGAGCAGAGAAAGGUUGAUCGCGUGGCCGAGAAGGGAAGGUGGACGGCUGGAGCUUGGAAAAACCUGAACUCUGAUGGUCUGGGGGGUGAAGCUUCACAGGCAGAAUCUGGGGUUUGGGCAGCAGGGUGUGUGCCUUUCUUCUGCUUGGCUGGUGUUACCUCAACAGGGCGGGGCUCCAGGAAUCUUGGGCUCAGCCUGGAGUCACCGUCCUCCCCCGGGUGGGGGCCUGGGUGGGGGCCUGCAGGAGUUCCUGCAGGAGAACUGAAGGUGUUUUCAGUAUGGCCCCUGAGAAGGAGGCAGGACCCUUCCCCAAGGCUGCUUCAUUGUUUCCCGGCCGUUUCUCCCUCGUUUCCGCGUUUCUGCGUUCUCUCCCCCAAUUAGCAACUGUUUGGAUCUGCCCUUUGGAACUCCGGGAAGGUCAAGGAGGCUGAAUGAAGCCCAUGUCCUACAAAAGAGAAACGGGACACAGAAAGGAAACAGCAGGCGCCUGAUGGACUUGCCAGGUGACCAGUGAGCAAAUGGGCAGAGCUGGGCAUUCCUGUCUCCUAAUGACCUGAUACGAAAUUACAACCUCUUAUCUGCUGCCAUCUCUGGAUUCGGGCAGAAGUAAUUUCCAGGUCCCUCUCUGCUUAGCCCUGGGCACAUUCCCCCGCCGUCUGACUCUGCAGGACCCCAUCUGAAGAAAGGCUGAUGACCCCUGGAGGGUUGUUUCCAGAAUGAUGAAAUCCUGGAGGAGAGCGCUCGGCACAGCGCUGGACUUUGGCAGGGGUGCGGGAUGUUUCAAAAAGGCAGUGUUGUUUCAUCAAGUCACAGGACAGGACACCUUCAUGGUUGCCGUGUUAGCGCAGGCACAGGGGCGCUCUGACGGCGUGAAGUACACUCGAGCUACUGCAGUGCAUCAUAGAUGCUUAGAAUGUGGUUUAUUCAAAUAACAGAAUAGCACCCAAAGUGGCCACAGACUCUGCUCACCUUUACAAACCCCGAGAGUAACCUUUACCGUGAGACUGUGAACAGCCCAGGAGGCCUGGAAUCAGAGGCACCAGUCUGAGAACUUUGGACGAGUCAGUGACUCUGUGGGUGGUGGUUUCCUGGUCGGAGAAGACAGUUUGCUGAGCUGAAGAAGAAGGCUUUUGUCUGCGAAUCAGUUAAGAUGCUUUCUUCUGCGAGUGACUCUGCUUCUGGUCACCCCCAUCCUGCCCUCAAUGUCCUCUCUUGUCUUUUGUUGAGGCUCAGAUUUAAGGCUUUGGCCAUUUUGGUGAGCUACUCAGUUUUCCUGGGUGUCCUCCAAGUACACAUGUUAUUAAACUUUCGUGUGAUUUUCUCCUGUUAAUCUGUCUCAUGACAGUUUAAUUCUCAGGCCAGCGGAAGCACCUAGAAGGGCAGAGGAAAAUG